CCUCCAGGCAGUCUGCUGCACCGGCCGGGUCGGGCCCCAGAACGGCGACGCCCCCGCCUCAGUCUCUAACGUCCGCUCUGGCAGGAAAGCCCAGCCCGGGGGUCCCCCCUCCCCGCCGCAGCGCGCUCCUCAAAGUCGACGGAUCGGAAGCCGUCCUCACUCGGAGAAGCUGGACGCCUGGGUCUGGCGGCGGAGGCCACUAACCCCGGGCGCGGGGCCCAGCUGGCCGAGCGGUUUGGGGAUCCCCGUUCACUCUGGAGGCUGUCCCCUUGGUCGGGAUCACAGCCACCUGAUCCAAACACAGCCACUGGCUGGAAGGACUGAGGUGCCUCCAGAUGGCGGAACCCUAAGACGCCCGGAUCCUCGCCCUUGACAUACGGCGUGCUGAUAGGUGGGGACCGCAGCAAGUUACCCUAGCCCAGCGUGGGGCUGGGUCUCGGGACCGUGAGACUGUGACCAGGCCAAGAUCAACAGUUGGACGUUGAGCCGACUGAGCCACCCAGGCGCCCCAAGGCACAGAGCUCGGGUGUCUCCGGGUCACAGCCUGUGGAGGAGGUGACAGUGCCCUGGGGUAUGAUUAUGGCCCACGUCCCGUGAGCUCUGGCUGUUAGGGCUCAUGCCUUCUUGCCCCACACAGGGCCUGUUGUCUGCACAAUCCCUGGGCUUCGUUCUGGGACCUGCCAUGCCUUAGGCCGGGGCCGGGCUCUGGGUGGACAGUGGCAUCGGAGGCCGGGUCCCGGGCCCCCCCCCCUCCGACCCGAAUCUGCCCCGUGUGAACCCUGGCCUUUCCACCCUCUCUGGAGAUCCCUGGCCAUGCCUUGCCCAGUCCACAGCUGUGGCUUCUCUAUGCGGAUCCCCCGAGAACCUCUCCAAGCCCCCCAGACUCCUUCCCCACCACCCCCAUCUGCCUCGCCCCUUCCUUCAGCCUCUUUUGACACCCUUGUGGUUCACACCUCAGCCAUGGGCUGUACCCAGCUCCUGCUGGCCAGAGGCCCCCAAAGUUCUGGGGUUCCCCAAGCAGCUUCCUCGAUCUCAGUGUCCCGAGGGCGCAGGGUCCCGUGUGGGAGUCAGCGUCUGGCACACAAGGGGGACACAGCCUUGUGGGUGGGUGGGUGCUUGGUUACAGCCCAGCAUCAGGCUGGGACCCCUGUGACACCCUCCCACCUGGGUGGCCUCACCUGGCUGCUGCCGGGAGCUCCGAUGGGAAAGGAGGUGUCCAGAGAGGUGGCCUGUCCGCCUUCCCCCUCCCCGUUGCCCCAUGCUCCUGGCAUGAGUCCCCAGGAGCAGCAAGUGUGGGGACAUCUGGGUACACUCUGCAGAGGUCAGGCCAGCACCAAAGAGAAGGCUGAGGAUUAGUGGCGGCUGGGAGCCAUGGCAACCGGACAACGGCCCAGUGGUCUCCCCAGGGAUGGCCCCUGAGUAGGGACCCCCAUCCUAGCGGCGAGCUCUGCCGUGGCCUGCGCCCUUCCCCUUUCUAGAGGCUGAGGCCUGUCCCCCCGCCCAGGACACGAGUGCACCUCUCUGACCAUCCCAGCCACUCCGGCCCCCACCGGUGCUGAGGCUCCUAGUGAUUAUUCAAAAGCCACAGAGGCUGACUCCGGUUCACCUGGAAACACCCCGGAGGCCCCCAUCUGUGUCCCCAGGAAAGUCCCCAAGCCGGGGCAGGCCCUGGGGAGGUUGAUGUGAGGCAUUCACUGUCCUCGGGCCAAGCUGGCCCCCCUCUACUCGUUGAGGCCACGCUGUGUCCACCCCCCAAUCUUUUUCCUAGCUGUAUCCCUGCCCAGCACAGCCCGUCUCCUUUUCUCCAGGUAAUUAGCCUGUCUGUUCCAGUGCCCCUUCCUCCAGGAAGCCCUCCUGGCUGCUGCACACUGGUUCUUCGCCACUCUGCCACCUGGUGGUCCCAGACCGCAUCCCCUCGGUGAUGUUUGUCUUGGUUAUAGAGGUUGUGAGUGUUGGUGACGGAUUGUCUCUGCCCCCCACCCGGCGGACGCGGCUGUGGGCUCACGGGAGGCCCUGGGCUUUCUGCAGGGGCCUGAGGUUGGGCCCUUCCUGGCCGUGGCCUCGGGCUUCAGUGGGCACUCUGUGGCGAUGCACCCUCAGUGCAGCUUCCCGGGCUGCCCCAGCCCUCAGAAUGGCAGGCUUCACCCCGUGGGCGCUAAUUGGGCAUGACGCUGUCGUGGGUGUAGAGCGGGGAGCAGAGACCCGGCCCCGGGUGAAGGGCCACCAGCCCGGUCAGCGCAGGGGAAGAGAAAGAUGAGGUACUGGGGUGACUUGGCACCCUGUGCUGCAGAGAAGCCCCCUGCACCCCCAGGGCAUUUCCGGGACCCCCCUGGCCCUCCCUCCCCACCAAGACAGCUCUUCCCUCAGGAGGCGGCUGCGUUUACGGGUGAGGCCCCAGGCCCGCCCCAGGCACCCCGGAGGCAAGAUGGUCGGAGCCCCUGGGCCAGACUCCCCAGACGCAGGGUACAUGCCAGGGCCUGUGAAUGAAGAGAGAGGGGCCAGACUCCAGGUGGGGAUCUGUCUGCACCCGGCGUGGCCCACCUGGGACCCUCCUCACCUUAGAUGCUGGGUCCCCAGAUGAUGAGCUCCGGGGAGGAGCCUCUCAGGGUGACCCAGCGGCCCCACUCCUGCCAAAGACUCCCCAGAAGGCUGGACUGGUCCCCGCCCCGCCUCCCCCCACCAAGCUGUGCAGGGUGGCCGGGCCAAGGCUUCCCUGGGAUGUGGGCUCAGCCCGGGCAGGGUGGGGCAGGAGGCUAAGGCCCAUCUUGCGGAUGAUGUGGCCGUUCCGGGGCCACCUGUGUGCAUGACACAAGGUCCUGGGGCAGGGCCGGGCCUGGCGCCGGGCUGUGUGGCAUUAGGUACAGCCGUGGGCACCGACUUGGCGGCGGGGAGGGAAGGCGGCCACGAGAGGGAGGAGGAAGGCGGUGAGCUUCCAAAAUUAGCCACGACACGAAGCGGGGAUUAUCAUGGCCCCGCUCACCGACGGGUCUUUGGGGACAAGGGGCCAAACACGGCUGUCCUGGGCACAGACAAUGAACAGAGACGUUCUGCCUUUUCCUGAGGGCACCUGGGUACCGGGCAGAGCCAGCGCCCUCAGCGCCCUGUGGCAAAGGCCACAGCCUUCUCUGCAGACGGGCCAAGGGGGUGCAGGGAGCUGGAGCGCGGGUGACCAGGCAACGAGGAGAGGGACAGACAGCACACCCCAUCUGGGGAAGAGGCCAAGGGGUGCCACGGCUCCAGAACAUCGCCCGCGGCAGGGCGAGCGGUGGCUCUUCCCCCCAACAUAGAGCAGCCUGCACUAGGGUCAGGGUGGGUCUUAAGGCCCCCGGAGUGGGUUGGUGGGUUUGGGCUAGUGUCCCCCACCACCACCCUGAGCCCCCAGGCUCCGGGAACAGGAAAUGCCCCGAAGAGACGGCUGGAGGGCAAGGUCAGGCAGCCGGUCGCCAGGGUAUGGGCUGGGGGGCGGCCGGCUGGGGACUGCGUUCAGCCACACGCGAUAAGAGAGCUCUGACGAAACAACCGGCCCAGACCGCAGCCUCGUGCACGCCGGGUCCCUCCCCCUGACAGCCAACGGGAACAGGUGCAGGCCAGCCACGCGGUAACGACAGAGCCACGGGUGUGUGCCGCCCACGGAGGACACGGGGGCCGGCCAGGUGAUGCCACUCACCAGUGAGUGCUCACAGUUAGGGUCGUUAACUCCUCCUUGUUCAGCAACAUUAAGUAACCAAGUAAAGACCCCACUCCCGGACGGCGGCUUUGACCGAAUCCCGGCGAGAAGUCAGCCCUGUGUCUGGGACAGGCAGGAUGGCCGGCCGGCAUCUGGAGCGGGGACGACCCGCCCCUUCUCUGCGAGGGGCUGCGGUUGGUCUCCGUCCCCACUCAGAGCCCCUUGGGGGAGAAGUGGGAGCGACACCUCCCCCUGCAGUGGCCUCGGUCCCUACCCUGUCCUUGAGGACACCCAUGGAGCCUCCCGGAGGCAGCGGUGACAUAACCAGCCCGGCAGACAGCCCGAAUGACCUGGUGGCACUUGGAGGGGCAGCGAUGAGCUGUAAGUUCUGGAUCUCAGGCAGGGAUGACAAUCAGCUGGCCUUGGCCCUUGGGAGGGGCCCCGGGGAGGGCAAGGCCUGGAGGGGACCGGAUGCCCGGAUGGAACCCUGCGGGCGGGACCCCUACAGCCACACCUCCCGGGCCAGCCCGAGCCCGGAACCAGCCCCUCGUCAUUUUUUUUUUUUUUAAAUAGUGUAUGUUAAUAUGGACUUUAUAUUUUAGGGCAGGUUUAGGGUUACAGAAAAUGGAGCACUGUUUCCCUAUACCUCUGCCCCCCCCACACACAGAAUUUCUUCUAUAUGAAGUCUCGCAUUGUUGUGAUACAUUUGUUACGAUCGACGUUACAAUGAUACUAUUGACCCAUUAUUUUUUACGUUUUUAAUGUUCGUUUUUGAGAGCGGGGGAGGGGUGGAGAGCGAGGGAGACACAGAGUGCGAAGCAAGCUGUCAGCCCAGCGCCCGAUGCGGGGCUCGAACUCGUGACCACGAGAUCAUGAGCCGAGCCGAAGUCGGGACGCUUGACCGACUGAGCUGUCCAGGCGCCCCUGUUGACACGUUAUUAUUAACUGACACCCAUUUUUGGUGUUGGACACUGUGGGUUUGGAUGAAUGGACGAUGAUCGGUUUCCACCAUUGCAGCGUCACAUAGUUUCACUGUCCUGCCUAUUCAGCCUCUCCUCUCCCCCAGCCCCCGAUAACUGCGUUUUGUUUUUUUUAACACAGUUCUGCCUUUUCCAGAAUGUCAUGUAGUUGGACCCCUACAGUGUAGCCUUUUCUCGCCGGCGUCUUUCACUUGGUAACACGCAUUUGAGCUUCCUGUGUGGCUUCCCGUGGCUUGAUGGAGCAUUUCUUUUUAGCUGAACACUAUUCCAUUGUGGGGACCGACCACAGUUAGCGUACCCGUCACCUGCUGAAGGACGUCGUGGUUGCUCCCAGACCCCUGCCUUUCUGCGGGCGGGCAGUACUCGAACAGUGCCCUCCCUGCCCCCUUGGCCCAUGCCUGCCAGGGGGCCACCCCUCGGAACUACAACGUCUCCAGGCUGUCCUGGGCCCCUGUCACCCUUACCCCGGCCUGGCACCGGGCAGGUCUACUCCAAGGUCUCAGCUAGUGUCAACUGGCCACAGGGGUCUUGCCCAAAGAUGGCAGGCCUAGCACCCAGAGGGCAAAUAUGUCCACACUCUGGCUGGUAGACCCCGGCCACCUCCUCCAGGAAGCCCUGCUCCUCAGAGUUCUGUUGUUAAAGUUUCCCCCCAAAUUCAUGUCCACUCAGAACCUCACAAUGUGACCUUAUUUGUAAAUAGGGUCUCUGUAUAUGUAAUUAGGGACAUAUUUGGAGACGAGGCCAUCCUGCAUUAUAAGUGCCCUGGAUCCAAUGACAAGUGUCCUUAGAAGAAGAGGAGAGACACAGACACAGAGGAGAAGCCACAUGAAAACGGAGGCGGAGACUGGAGCCCCCAGAAGCUGGAAGAGGCAGGAGGGAGCCUCCCCUUGAGCCCCUCGGGGUGAAGGGCUUGGCCCUGCCCCCCUGGAUCUCUGACUUUGGGUCUCCAGACUGUGAGCGGCUGGAUUUCUGUUCCCUGAGCCACCAGUUUGUGAUAAGGUGGUAAGAUGGCCCCAGGGCAGGAAACCAGGUUCAACCCUCCCUCCCUCCCUCCCUCCCUCCCUGCCCGUUGGCCUGGCACUCCUCAUGUGGGCUAAUCCCCUGUGCCUUCCCUGGGCUCUGGUCUCCCGUCCUGACUGCCUGCCUUGUGCCCCGUGGUCCCAGCUCCCGGGUAGAAGGAAGGGUUGCCUGCUGAGGGGCACUGCCUCAUCCUGUCCCCAUGCCCCUGGCACACACGCUGUGGCCACAAGACAUUUUCAGUUUCCACAGUCCUUGUGUUUUGAUGUUGACACACUCGAGGCCCAUUCAAGUCACUUGAUUUCCCACUCAGAGGCGAAUCCAAAGGAACACAUCUCCUCUGAUUUGUUCACACCAGUCAACUUUUCCAUCAAUAAAAAAGCCCAUUUUGCUCAUCUGAUGCCAACGGAAUGCGAUCUUUUCUAAGAUGUCAGAAUUCAGUGACUCAUUCCCUUAUUUCAUCCCAUUUACGUCUGAGAGUCAAACGGCAUCUGGAGACAGAAUUCCUCAUUGGAGAACAAGUCAUUAAGAAGUCAGCAUGGAAACACAGACCCGAGCACUGCCUCACCUCGGUGGCAAAGCUUGGGGCCUGGCUCUCCUCCACGUCCAGGCAGCAGAGGCCCGCUAAGUGGGGGUCCCUGAGCUCCAGCCCAUGGCUGCCCUUUGAGAACACAGGCCCAGCAAAAACACUUCUGAUUUUUCUCAAGACAAAAGCUUUCUACAUGCAUUGCCUGGCUCACACACGUCGGCAGCAAAUGACAGAUAUCCAGGGCAAGUACGGCCACUGGGAGCCCCCCAGCGCCCUGGGGCCUCGAACUGCCCUGGCAGCUGCCCUGACCCCAGGGUGCCAGCCACCCCUCCGGGCCAGCUGGCCCUCCAAACAUGCUGUCCCCCCUCGAUGUGCUGCCCCCACCCCCGCCGGACAUGCUAUCCCCCUUGGAUGUGCUACGCCCCCCGGAUGUGCUGGCCUCCCCCCGGCCGGACACGUUAUCCUCCCCGGAUGUGCUGGUCCCUCCAGGAUGUGCUUGUACCCUCCGGACAUGCUGUUCCCUGCCAGACAUGCUGGCCCCCCCGCCCCCACUCCGGACGUGCUGGCCCCUCUGGACAUGCUGGUCUGAUGGUCUGGGCCAGUGGGUGUAUCUCUGUGGGCAACACAUCACUGCCCAGCAACCUGGUCUCGGGAAGGCCCAUGGAUGGGUGCAGCUGGGGGGCCCCGGCUUAGCCCUGACCAGGACAGCAGCCACCUCCAAGCCCCAGCUUCCAUCUGGAAAGGGGAAAAAAUAAACAUAAUGAGA